rnacentral:tRNA from 2 species
UGGGGUGUCGUAUAAUGGUUAUUACUCGCGGCUCUGACCCGCGCAAUCGGGGUUCGAAUCCCUGCACCCCAGCCA